AGCGAACGCUGGCGGCAGGCUUAACACAUGCAAGUCGAGGGGAGCGGCAGACGGGUGAGUAACGCGUGGGAACGUACCUUUUGGUUCGGAACAACACAGGGAAACUUGUGCUAAUACCGGAUACAGAAAGAUUGGCCCGCGUCUGAUUAGCUAGUUGGUGAGGUGAUGGCUCACCAAGGCGACGAUGCGUAGCUGGUCUGCGAGGAUGAUCCGGCACAUUGGGACUGAGACACGGCCCAAACUCCUACGGGAGGAAGCGGUGGGGAAUAAUGGACAAUGGGGGCAACCCUGUUCCAGCCAUGCCGCGUGGGUGAUGAAGGCCCUAGGGUUGUAAAGCUCUUUUGUGCGGGAAGCGGUACCGCAAGAAUAAGCCCCGGCUAACAUCGUGCCAGCAGCCGCGGUAAUAC
rnacentral:rRNA from 1 species